ensembl:lncRNA
CACGGUGUUACGCACAACCGCUUCCGGGUCAGCCUGAUGGGGCGGGUUUCGUGGGCGGGACCCGCAAUUCUACUUCCUCCCCGCAGCCUCUAGUCUAAUUCUCUGCUUUAGCUGUUGCCCGGCUCUUACCUGAAACCCUUCCCUCUCCCCAAAAGUGGGUUGGGCUGAAGUGUCCUUUGCCCGCUGGCUGCCUGCGGGUCAAACUGUGCUUCAGGCAGCUAUGGGACCCUACCUCGGCCAAAGCUUCGGGAACCUAGGAAUGACAAAGUCUGCAUAUUCAGUACAGAUGUUUCCAGAAUACUUUAGUGUGCAGUUGAUUGAAUCUGGAUGCAGAACUUGGAGCCAUGGAGGACCAAGAACGUUGAAAAUGCAACAAUAAGGGGAAAUGCAAUUUAAAAGUGGGCUGAAAAGUAAAGACAGACUUUAUUAGAGAAUAUACACAUGGUAUCCACAGUUGCUAGAAUGCCCCCAUUAAAUGGCCUGUCAGGAGGAAAUAAAUCUCCAUCUUGUUUUCGUGUGCUAUUACAUGGGCUUUGCCUCACAACAAAGGAACCUAAUUUUGACCGACUCAAGAAAGUUUGAACCCUGAAGUCAUCGCUUUGAAAAUAAAAGGCUUGUUUAUGUAAGUGCAUGUUACUGGUUUUUAUUGUGUAUAUUUAUG